GUGGCUCACUUUCGGUGGAGGAACCAAACUCAUCAUCAAAAAGUUUAUAGAUGCUGCUGAAGGUGAGAGAAGUUUCCAGAUGUUUCUCCUGAGCUGCAGUGAUGUGAGAACAGUGUGGAUCACUGAUUACUGAACACACAUUAAUGUUUCCAGUCUGGACUCUUAAUAAGCAGUAAUGAGUAAAUGUUGUGUAAGUGUGUGUAAAUGUGUGUUUAUUGUGUGUUUGUGGUCUCCAGCCGGUCCCACGGUGAAGCCCUCCGUGUCUCUGCUCCCUCCCUCCUCUCUGCAGCUGUCUGAGGGAUCAGCCUCGCUGCUCUGCCUGCUGUCUGCCUACUCUCCACAGGGGGCGCUGGUGAGCUGGACGGUGGAUGGCUCAGAGGUGAAGGACGGGGUUCUGACCAGCGCGGAAGAACAGAAGAAGGACGGUUACACACGCAGCAGCACCCUGACCCUCAGCAAAGCACUCUGGGAAAAGGGGGAGGAGUUUGUCUGUAAGGUCUCCCAUGACGGCGUCAAUCAUCCGGUCACGUUCAGAAAGAGCCAGUGUGAAGGCUAACAGCUCCAAGAUAGAAUUUAACACUGAGCUGCUUACACAUCCAUCUACAAUAGAGUUUCAAUUCUACACAAUGCUGACAUUUCUGUCUUUACUCUCUUCACUGUCCUGUUGCUCUUCCUGUAGUUUUGCUCUGCUGAAAUAAAGCUUGAUUUUGGA